rnacentral:piRNA from 1 species
UCNCCAUGCCUCUCUGCUUGGACUGCGC